rnacentral:rRNA from 1 species
AGUGAACGCUGGCGGCAGGCCUAAUACAUGCAAGUCGGACGGCAGCACAGCAGAGCUUGCUCUGUGGGUGGCGAGUGGCGGACGGGUGAGGAAUACAUGGGAAUCUGCCCAGUCGUGGGGGAUAACGUAUGGAAACGUACGCUAAUACCGCAUGCGCCCUUAGGGGGAAAGCCGGGGACCGAAAGGCCUGGCGCGAUUGGAUGAGCCCAUGUUCGAUUAGCUAGUGUGCGGGGUAAAGGCCCACCAAGGCGACGAUCGAUAGCUGGUCUGAGAAGAUGAGCAGCCACACUGGGACUGAGACACGGCCCAGCCUCAUACGGGAGGCAGCAGUAGGGAAUAUUGGACAAUGGGCGCAAGCCUGAUUCAGCCAUGCCGCGUGAGUGAAGAAGGCCCUCGGGUUGUAAAGCUCUUUUGUCCGGAAAGAAAAGCAUUCGGUUAAUACCCGGGUGUUCUGACGGUACCGGAAGAAUAAGCACCGGCUAACUUCGUGCCAGCCGCCGCAGUAA